rnacentral:tRNA from 1 species
GCCGGGGUGGCGGAACUGGCAGACGCACAGGACUUAAAAUCCUGCGGUGAGUGGAUCACCGUACCGGUUCGAUUCCGGUCCUCGGCACCA